rnacentral:rRNA from 1 species
UACGUAGGCAGCGAGCGUUGUUCGGAGUUACUGGGCGUAAAGGGUGUGUAGGCGGUUGUUUAAGUUUGGUGUGAAAUCUCCCGGCUCAACUGGGAGGGUGCGCCGAAUACUGAAUGACUUGGAGUGCGGGAGAGGUGAGUGGAAUUCCUGGUGUAGCGGUGAAAUGCGUAGAUAUCAGGAGGAACACCGGUGGUGUAGACGGCUCACUGGACCGUAACUGACGCUGAGACACGAAGCGUGGGUAGCAAACAGG